CCUCGGGCGGGCAGUCGCCUCCCAGCGAGCGGCCGCGCAGCCAGCAGCUCCAGCCGGACACGCCGCGCGGAAGAGCACGGGCGUGCAGAUGUAACGUACACGUGACGAAGCCGGGAUUUGAACCGCAGACGCCGUCAGUUGUGCCCCUCGGCGGCCAUCGCCUCACCUCGUGGUGUACCAGCAGCCCUACCAGACAUCGGUCAACAGCUCAACAGGACGAAGGCGACGCUAGGCCAAUCACCGCGCACCUCAAGUGUACGCUCCAUCUCGACUUCGAAGAUUUUCGUCUGCAGCCACCAUAAGCUCAGGACCCCGGAGCCCUCGCCCGCCCUGCUGCAGCUGACGACUCCGCAUGCGCACGCUGCUGGCCGUGUUGUGCGUGGCCUGCGCCAGUGCCCUCCUCUGCCCCCGGGCGGCGGCCGAGCAGAG